GCCCGGGUGGCGGAACGGCAGACGCAGGGAGCUUAAACCUCCCAGCCGAAAGGCAUACGGGUUCGAAUCCCGUCCCGGGCA
rnacentral:tRNA from 1 species